GCUAGGGUGAACCAGCAAAUGAUAAGGAUAGGCAGUAAAGGCUUAAAUUAGGCAAGAACCUAAGUUUGGGGGAGUAUAUGUGGGUUACAUUUUCUAUUUUAAAAAAAAAGAAGAAAAAGAAAAAGGUAUACAUGGUGACAAGUCUUGUUUCGGGGCCUUUGUUACUUGAGCAAGUACGCCCGAGGGGAUUGUCUUUACAGCUAGCACCCUAAGGUCUUUUAUGGUAUG
rnacentral:lncRNA from 1 species